rnacentral:rRNA from 1 species
UACGAAGGGGGCUAGCGUUGCUCGGAAUCACUGGGCGUAAAGGGCGCGUAGGCGGCCAUUCAAGUCGGGGGUGAAAGCCUGUGGCUCAACCACAGAAUUGCCUUCGAUACUGUUUUGGCUUGAGUCUGGUAGAGGUUGGUGGAACUGCGAGUGUAGAGGUGAAAUUCGUAGAUAUUCGCAAGAACACCGGUGGCGAAGGCGGCCAACUGGACCAGUACUGACGCUGAGGCGCAAAAGCGUGGGGAGCAAACAGG